rnacentral:lncRNA from 1 species
GACGCGCGUGCGCUUGCGGCCUGCUGUAGGCCCUCGCGUCGCUGGCUUGCCCUCCGCGGGCACCCUAUGGCGCCGUGUGCUUGGCGGACGCGUCAGGGGAAGACGGUCCGCGGGGGGACGGCGCCGGGAAGGCUGCCGGUGUAUGACGGGGACGCGGCAGCUCCCUCGCAUCUGCGACCCAGCCCCAGCAGUGCGCAAUGGAGGCCGCGACGCGCGCGGGGGUCCCGCCUUCGAGGCAGCGUGAGGCGGGGGGGGGACUGGGUCCCGCCGCCUGGCGGCCCGGGCGGAGGGGAGCCUCGCCCGCACACCGCCCGCGUCGGACCUGCACAUUUUCGGGUUUUGGGUUUCUGCGUCUGCCGGCGCGAGAGGCGCGCUCACGGGCCCGGAAGGUCGGGGGAGCGGGAGGUCUCCGCGAGCCGGUGAGCACGCCCCGGCGCCGCUCCUUCCCUUCUCCGCGACGGCAAGAGCGGCGCGGUGCCGCGCUGGGGAGGGAGGCGUCCCUCGGCGCCUGCUGGGCUCCUUCCCCCGCGCGGGCGCAGUCGGCCCUGGGGAGCAGUUGACGCUCGCCCCGGGGGAUGAGGCCGGUGGCGCCUCCGUGCCCCUGUGCUGCCUGUGCCCCGGGCUCUCUGGGGUCUGGGAGUGGGUGAAAGGCGGCAGGGUCCCCGAGGUGAAGUGAGAACGGGAAGCAGACGCCUGCGUGGGAUGGUCGCGCCCCCUUCAGGAGAAGCGCUGCCGGGGUGGGCCGUGUCCAGCAGACUUAAUUGCAGGACAUCAUAACAAGGAGAGUAGUGCUUCAGUCUGAGGAGUAACAGUGAAGGAAAGUCGUCAAAAAUUAACGACCCUCAGCACCACAUAAAAAUAAGUAAAUAAGAUAAAGCUAACUGUGAAUAUACAUAAAAAUAUACGUAUACUUCGAAUUUGUAAGUAUAUAUUGUAAAUAUAUGUAUUGAAAACAUAUAUAUGUUAAAUUGUUGAACUUUUGUCCGUGCAGUUAUUUUGGUUAUUAUCUGGUAGUAUUCCGUGUUUGUCGUUGUAGAAGUAAAUGCCAAUGAGAUUAAAGGGGAGUGGUGGAAGUGGCCCUGAGGACAAGAUCAGGCCUGCAGGGACAGACACAGAUGGUGUUACAGCUGUUGACUUCAUGCAAUUUUGGCACCUGCUGCUGGACAGGCUAGGGAGCUGGCCAGAGCGGGCAUUGGCUCCCAGUCCCCCUGUUUAUCACUCUGGCCCACCUCAGCUUCCAGGGAGGCAUGAGAGGGAAAUAAGACCAGACCACUAUAGGAUAAGGGUGAAUUAGGUUCUGCUCUCUGUUCCAUCCUGCCAUGGAGCUGGACUUUUGUUUCCUACAAGGCCAGAAAUGAUCCCUGUGGCAGAGGGGACUGAAAGUGCUCUUGGGAUGGAUUUAUUUCAUCAGCAGUGCCACUAAGUGCUCCUGCUUCAGAGUUCUAACCCUCAAGAUGAUGGCCAUAGGAAGUGGGGUCUUUGGGACCACUGAGAGGCCAUGUGCCCCUUCCCACACACAAGGACACAACACUGAGCCAACAGUCAGACUUUUCCAGAUACCAGUUUUGGCUGGUGCCUUGGGCUUCAGCUUCCAGAACUGUGAGAAAUUUGUUUAUAAGCCACCCAUAUGGGUAUUUCUGCUGCAGCAGACUAAGCCAGUGUUAAGUGAGUGCCCCCCAAAAAAAGAUGGGCCUUGGUGGAACAGUCAUUAGAACUAGCCAGAAGGGUCUCACUGGCCAGAGCUCUGACUAUGUGAGCACUAGUAAGUGCUGACUGCUGGAUUAUGGCCACAAUACGGGGCAUUGCCAGUCUGCCAUGUGGGUGUGAGUGGUCCUCAAGUAAGUGGGAAAAUAGCACAAUUCUUCCUGAAUUCCAAUUAAGAAAAAUAUCACUGUGUGAGUUACUGGGUUCCAUCUCCAAUACUGGGGGGAAAAAACAAGUCAAUAAAUGUAGAAGGAAGCAGUCACCUUUAUUUGUGACAGGUAUGAAUCCACUGAUAGUUGCUAAAGUUAAGUAGCAAAAGUUUGAGGUGAAAUAGUGUUUGCAUGGUUUCUGAAUGUCUCCCCUAAAGUACUUAUUUUCCUAGCUUUCUAUUAUUGCUCCAACAGAUUGCUUCAAAUUUAGUGGUUUAGCUGGGCACAGAAGUGCACAUCUGUGAUCCCAGCUGCUUGGGAGGCUGAGGAAGGAGGAUCACAAGCUUAAGGCCAACAAUUUUUUUUUUUUCCUGGGCAUUGAACCCAGGGCCUUGUGCACACAAGGAAAGCACUCUACCAAUUGAGCUAUAUCCCCAGCCCUUAGGCCAGCUUUUUCGAGAGCUACACAGUUGUGGGUACAACAGAGCACCAUGCUGCCCGCUUCUGCUCCUGACUCACUGCUGUUCGCUCGCCAAGAAACUGCCACAGCCUUGGCAUUUAAAGACACCCAUGGAACCAGGGAUGGCAGGUCACCAAAUUAGAAUCACCCUCACCAGCGGCAAUGUGAAAUCACUUGAGAAAGUGUGUGCUGACUUGAUCAGAGGCUCAAAGGAGAAGAAUCUCAAAAUGAGGGAACCUGUUUGCAUGCCUACCAACACUUUGAGAAGCACCACAAGAAAAACACCUUGUGGUGAAGGCUCCAAGACAGGAUUGUCUGCAGAUGAGAAUCCACAAGGACUCAUCGACUUGCACAGCCCUUCUGCGAUUGUUGAGCAGAUUACUUCCACCAGCCAGGAGUGGAGGUGGAAGUCACCAUUGCAGAUGCCUAAGUAAACUGUUUUAAUAAAUUAUUAGUUGUUAAAAAAAAAAAGUGUAAGGCCAGACUGGGCAACUUGAUGAGAUCCUGUCUCAAAAAUUAUAGUUUUUAAAAAGUGCUGGGGGCGUGUGGCUCCAUUGUAGAAUACCCCUGAAUUCAAUUGCCAGCCAAAAAUAAAAAUCAAGGGCUCAAAAUAUGAAUUUAUUUUCUUAUUCCUCUGUAGGUGAGAAAUGAAGUCCAACCUCAGGCUUGCUGGGCUGAAAUCCAGGUACUGGCACAGCUAACGACUCCUGGGGGAUCCAGAGAGGAAUCCUUUCCUGCCUUUUGCACACCUGUCUCUCCCACUUUGAAGGACCCUCGUGAUGACAUUAGGCCUGUGGGGAUAAUGCAGGAAGCACCUCUUACAAUUGUAGACUGGCAGCUUCCAUUCGCUUGUGAGACAAAUCACAGAUUCCAUGGGUGAGGACGUGGGCAUCUUGGGAACCAUCAUUCUGCCUUCCACAAGAUUUAAUAGCUACCAAGGGAAAACUAGUAAUUUUAAAGUGGAGAAACCAGAUCAGAUCACCACCAAUGAGACUUGCUGAUCCCAGGAAACUGUGAGGUGAUACACUGAAAGACACACCUCAUUUCUCUGGUUCUCUUUGCCAGAAAUGCACAACCCAGGCCAGUCAUGAGAAACUCACGAAUAGUCAGCAAAGUAGCUAAUGGGUACUCCUCAGAGCACAAGGUAGUAAAAGGAGGAAAUGAACUGCCACAGGUUGAGGAGGCUGAGGAACACCCAAUGUGUGAGCUUCUGGCAACAUUAAUGGAAAAACAUUCACAUUGGCUUUGGUUGGGUUUGUAGCACACCAGUGGCAACUUUCUGAGGCUCACAAGGGGACCCUCAGCACAGGAGAUGGCCAUGGUCUCACAGAGGCCCUUAUUCUACUUGCCACGAGACGUAUUAGCUUUUAGAACAAUGAUGCACACCUUUCCCAGCACCUAGGAGGCUAAGGCAAGAGGACUGCUU